GUUAACCGGGGUUUAAUCGGGACAGAAAUAUAUGCAUAACAUAGACAUAAACGCAAUUUAUACUUAUUAUUAUAUUCAUAAAUAAUUAUAAUGAUAAUUAUAAUUGCUUUUAUUACAACGCAAGAGGCUCUAUGAGGUACUUUUCUGUCCCGAUUAAACCCCGGUUAGCUAACCGAGGUUUAACCGGGACAUAAAGUACCGGCCCUAAAUGUGCAGCAAACGACGGCAAUGUUGCCAGAUUCCUUUUAGCGGGAAUUUUAAAAUUUUAUAACAGUUUGGUUUUAAAUUUGACAGUUUGUUUUCUCAAGUCAAAAAUCUUAACCUUACUUUUACAAGUGAUUAGGAUUAUUAUUAUUUUAUUUACAUGUAAAUUGAAACAAUAAAUAUUGUGCUGUGUCAUAAUUUCAAACUCAUUAUGUUGCAGUCUUUUCCAGUUGAUAAAAUUGCAAUUCAAAAACUUUUAGGUAGAUUUGCACUGUAUGGAGAACAAGAGUACAAGAACAUGAAACAUCUUGUUAUGAAUGUAUAUGUAUGUGAUCCUCAAAAAAUGAUUUUACAAAACAAGAUAGAGAAAGAGCACAAUUUUAAAACACAUUAAGGGCAUGAGGAUGAUAUAGAGCACUUACAUAAAUACCAAAACCAGAUAAAUAUCUCUUCAACGUUCAUUUUGAGACUUUCUUCAAAAAUUAAACUUCAGACUGUUCAGGAUAGCAUAAUAGCAUAGGAGGCGAAUUAAAAAGAAUUGAUUUACUUACAAGAAAAGAUAUCACAAACAUUAAACUCUCUUAUGGCAUUGAUUUGAAAGAUGGGUAUAUGUACAAUGAUGAUGCAACCAGUGUUUAUUUUUGGGUUGAAUGCUUACAGACUCAUGUCCAAUAUUAUUUUACAAACAACAGGGCAUACUAAUGGAUAUUCAUUCUGAAUUUAACAUUUAUGAUUUUUGUCUUAUUUUCCUUAAUGCUGUGCCAAAAGGAAAUGUUAAUUAAGUUUGGUAAAUCCUUUAUCACAAUCCAUGGAACUCAUGGGCUCAAUUCCUAUGACUUUGAACUUAUGACAGUAUUAGUAAAAGAUGAAUUUGGGAAUGGAUUUUGUACUGCUUUCUUAUUUUCAAAUAGAAAAGAUACUUACUUUAAUUUACCAAUUUUUUUAAAUACAUGUCUGUGUUGGUAUUAUAUGUAUAGUCAAAUGUUUUCAUAUCAGGCAUAAGCGACACCUUUUACAAUGCCUCGUCAAAUGUAAUGGGUAUUGCUCCUAAUAGACUGUUAAGUGCCUGGCACAUAGAUAGGGCAUGGUAAGUAAAUCUUAAUAAAAUAUCUGAUUCUGAAAAAAAUCCUAUUAUGUAUACAAGAUGUAUUAAUGAUGGUUUAGAGCAGCGGUUCUCAAUCUGUGGUACAUGUACCACUGGUGGUACAUAUCAUUAUUUCAGGUGGUACCCAAAAUGCAAAAACAACCAAAAUCAGCACCACUAUUAUAGUUAAAUAGAUCACCUAGCUAGAUAGGUAUUUCAGUUAGGUGGUACCAAAAAUAAUAAAAAGUUUUUGGUGGUACAUGACUCAAAAAGAUUGAGAACCGCUGGUUUAGAGAGUAUUAAUAGCUUUUUGGGUAGACUUCUAAGUGAUGCAGAUACAUACAAUUUUAGUAAGUAUUUCCAGUAGAACUACUGCAAUAACAUCCAACAAUGGGCCUAUUGUUAUAGGAAGGGGUUGUGGAAUUAAUACCAAUAUGACCAUUCAAAAUUUUCAUAAAAUUUUGGAUAAAAGGGUAUCCAUUAGUUGUUA
rnacentral:lncRNA from 1 species